UGGGGAAUUUUGGACAGUGGGCGAAAGCCUGAUCCAGCAAUGCCGCGUGUGUGAAGAAGGCCUUCGGGUUGUAAAGCACUUUUGUCCGGAAAGAAAUGGCUCUGGUUAAUACCUGGGGUCGAUGACGGUACCGGAAGAAUAAGGACCGGCUAACUACGUGCCAGCAGCCGCGGUAAUACGUAGGGUCCAAGCGUUAAUCGGAAUUACUGGGCGUAAAGCGUGCGCAGGCGGUUGUGCAAGACCGAUGUGAAAUCCCCGAGCUUAACUUGGGAAUUGCAUUGGUGACUGCACGGCUAGAGUGUGUCAGGAGGGGGUAGAAUUCCACGUGUAGCAGUGAAAUGCGUAGAGAUGUGGAGGAAUACCGAUGGCGAAGGCAGCCCCCUGGGAUAACACUGACGCUCAUGCACGAAAGCGUGGGGAGCAAACAGGAUUAGAUACCCUGGUAGUCCACGCCCUAAACGAUGUCAACUAGUUGUUGGGGAUUCAUUUCCUUAGUAACGUAGCUAACGCGUGAAGUUGACCGCCUGGGGAGUACGGUCGCAAGAUUAAAAGCUUAAA
rnacentral:rRNA from 1 species